CACCGGCGCCAGUCAAAAUCUGCUGCUGUGCCUGAACCCUGAUUCUGUCUGCACUUUCAAUAAACCAGACAACAGACACCCCAUCACAGACACAACAUGGCUCUAUGGGGACUCCCGUUUUACCUCAGGGAACCAAAUCUCCAAGAUUUAUUUGGACAUUGAUAAAGAGGAGUGAAACUGGGCAUCCUUGAAGCCAUGGAGGAUGACCUCUCACAGAGAACUAAGAGAUGACUAAACUUCUGCAUCAUCCUGGAGGAAACUGUGGUAAUGGAGGACCAUCUGACUUUCCCACUGCUUUAAUGGUACUCUUUGGACUUCUCUAUGUGCUGAUUAUUGACUUUCCAAAAGGACUAAAAUACACAUUUGAGUGUUUCACAGAUAGGUGCACUUCUAUUUUA